rnacentral:lncRNA from 1 species
UUGAUUACCACUUGAGGAGAACAAGUGUGGCCCGAUCUUCCGAAAGUUUCUGGUAACUAUCGAUUUGGUGGAAACGAGAGAUAUAUCAAUCCAGUUUGCGAACAACACAAUUCGAAACCCUACAAUUUUUUUUUUGAUAUUUUUCUUUUACUUAGGAGCACUCAAGAAGUAACCACAGGAAAUUUGAGCUUAAACAAGUGAAUUACGUGGCCUGUGGAAUUUUAUGAAGAUUGUU